AUGUCUCUUAAGGUGAAUCCAGCCCCACCAGUGCCUGGAGCCAUAAGCACUCAGUAUUUAUAUUUGGAAAGGUCUCCGGCAUCACCUGGAAAAAGCCCAGUCCAGAGAGCAUCAACCCAGCAUGCACUGGAAAAAGACGCCAUCCCACGUUACCUGCUGAUGUGUUUGCUCCCGUCCCGAGGCACACGCAAGAAAUUCAAGGUCCUUGAUCGCCCUGGGAAGAGAAGGUGUUUGCUUUACACAAGCCUCAGGGAGAACACAAAGAUAAGUAGCAUCUGUGCAGCUGGAAGCGCUGUAUAUGACUGCGGAGACCGUAUUUCCAGCCACAAAAUGCCAGGAUGCUGGGGGAUGGCGAAAGUUCGGAGAAGUCCCGAGAGCUCUCUCCAGCUUGGGGGAAAAAAGCAUUUGCCUUGUCUCUGCCUCGGUUUCCCUCUGUUUAAACCAUGA
rnacentral:lncRNA from 1 species